AACGCACAUUGCGCCCGCCAGUAUUCUGGCGGGCAUGCCUGUCCGAGCGUCAUUGCCCAACCUUCGAGCCCGGCUCGGUGUUGGGGUGCGUGGGGUUUUUCGCUUGAAUCGGUCACGACAAUAGCGCCCCGCCGCCCGUAAAUCAAGUGGCGAGCGCCUGAGAGAACGCCCCCUGCGUAGUAGAAUUACCCCGCACCGGGCGACUUGGGACAAUCGUCGCGCUGCAGUCCCCUAGGACAGUAGCGCUAAUAUAUAUAUUUAAGGUUGACCUCGGAUCAGGUAGGAAUACCCGCUGAACUUAA
rnacentral:misc_RNA from 1 species